GCUGAUGAGGAAAUCCUAUUAAGCGAGGUGCAGUGGAGCUGAGACCCUGUUUUCAGGGAGAACCCCUUGGCAGAAACUGCAAUUUCUUUGAAGCUAAUGGACUAACUGAGGC
rnacentral:snoRNA from 1 species